rnacentral:tRNA from 1 species
AAGGUUUUAAGUUAUUAUAAACUAUAAGCCUUCAAAGCUUAAAAUAAAAAAGAAUUUUUAAACCUUG